GCGAUGUGGAUGUCUUCUGGAACGCGUAGUCGCGAAACGACUGCGUAAAACAAAGCAAUAACCGGAAAUUGGAUUUUUUAUAAGUUUAAAUAGAAAUUCACGAAGGUCUUUGGCGGGAACGACGAGAAGAAUAAAGAAGCUAACAGAGUAUUCUACGAUAUUAUAAUAACAAGUAAAAGUAACGGAAGAGAAUGAUGACUGGUAGGUGUGGCGAUUAUUGGUUGCCCCUGUACACAAGACUCCACCUACCUGUACGCCUAUUUCGGUUCUAAACUGGGAUAGUAUUUCUUCUAAACGAACAGGUAUUUCAUUAUGGUAUAUUUUAUGAUAAAUAUUCAUUGAAUAUUAUAUAUUUUUUAAAGGAGAAUUGCAAAAUAUUUAAGAGUAGCAAUAUUAUUGAUUUAACUAUUUUCUUCCUAUAUAAUUAUAUUAAUAUAAUUUUUACGUUAGAACAUACUUGGAUAUCUACAAAAAUUAGUCACCAAUUGUUUUUUUAAAUACCAAAUGCUUAAGAUAUCAACGAUAAAUAAUUAAUAAAACUAUGAAGAAAUACUGCUACUAUAAAGUAAUUUGCAAACUUUUGAAAAAUGUUGCAUUGCUAUAUUAAACAAUUCUUAAGGAUACAAUAAUAAAUAAUUGACAAAACUAUAGAAAUAUUGUUAUUGUGCUAAAGAAUAAUUCACAAAUUUUUUAAAAAUUCUCUAUUACUAUAUUAUACUGUGUGACAUAUGUAUUAUGAAAACUACACAACUGUAUCAAAUAAA